CCUACGGGUGGCAGCAGUGGGGAAUAUUGCACAAUGGGGGAAACCCUGAUGUAGCGACGCCGCGUGAGUGAAGAAGUAAUUCGUUAUGUAAAGCUCUAUCAGCAGGGAAGAAAAUGACGGUACCUGAGCAAGAAGCCCCGGCCAACUACGUGCCAGCAGCGGCGGUAAUACGGAGGGGGCAAGCGUUAUCCGGAUUUACUGGGUGUUAAGGGAGCGUAGACGGGUGUGCAAGUCUGGAGUGAAAGGCGGGGGCUCAACCUCCGGACUGCUCUGGAAACUGGACGGCUGGAGUGCAGGAGAGGUAAGUGGAAUUCCUGGUGUAGCGGUGAAAUGCGUAGAUAUUAGGAGGAACACCAGUGGCGAAGGCGGCUUACUGGACUGUAACUGACGUUGAGGCUCGAAAGCGUGGGGAGCAAACAGGAUUAGAUACCCGGGUAGUC
rnacentral:rRNA from 1 species